rnacentral:rRNA from 1 species
GAUCCAGCCAUGCCGCGUGAGUGAUGAAGCCCCUAGGGUCGUAAAGCUCUUUCGCCAGGGAUGAUAAUGACAGUACCUGGUAAAGAAACCCCGGCUAACUCCGUGCCAGCAGCCGCGGUAAUACGGAGGGGGUUAGCGUUGUUCGGAAUUACUGGGCGUAAAGCGCGCGUAGGGGAUUAGUCAGUCAGAGGUGAAAUCCCAGGGCUCAACCCUGGAACUGCCUUUGAUACUGCUAGUCUUGAGUUCGAGAGAGGUGAGUGGAAUUCCGAGUGUAGAGGUGAAAUUCGUAGAUAUUCGGAGGAACACCAGUGGCGAAGGGGCUCACUGGCUCGAUACUGACGCUGAGGUGCGAAAGUGUGGGGAGCAAACAGGAUUAGAUACCCUGGUAGUCCACACCGUAAACGAUGAAUGCCAGUCGUCGGCAAGCAUGCUUGUCGG